rnacentral:rRNA from 1 species
AUGUGACCUCAAAUCAGGUAGGACUACCCGCUGAACUUAAGCAUAUCAAUAAGCGGAGGAAAAGAAACUAACAAGGAUUCCCCUAGUAACUGCGAGUGAAGCGGGAAAAGCUCAAAUUUAAAAUCUGUCAGUCUUUGGCUGUCCGAGUUGUAAUCUAGAGAAGCGUUAUCCGCGUUGGACCGUGUACAAGUCUCCUGGAAUGGAGCCUCAUAGAGGGUGAGAAUCCCGUCUUUGACACGGACUGCCAGGGCUUUUGUGAUGCGCUCUCAAAGAGUCGAGUUGUUUGGGAAUGCAGCUCAAAAUGGGUGGUAAAUUCCAUCUAAAGCUAAAUAUUGGCGAGAGACCGAUAGCGAACAAGUACCGUGAGGGAAAGAUGAAAAGAACUUUGGAAAGAGAGUUAAACAGUACGUGAAAUUGCUGAAAGGGAAACGCUUGAAGUCAGUUGCGUUGUCCAGGGAUCAACCUUGCUUUUGCUUGGUGUACUUUCUGGUUGACGGGUCAGCAUCAAUUUUGACUAUUGGAAAAAGAUCAGGGGAAUGUGGCAUCUUCGGAUGUGUUAUAGCCCUUGGUUGCAUACAAUGGUUGGGAUUGAGGAACUCAGCACGCCGCAAGGCCGGGUUUUUAACCACGUACGUGCUUAGGAUGCUGGCAUAAUGGCUUUAAUCGACCCGUCUUGAAACACGGACCAAGGAGUCUAACAUGCCUGCGAGUGUUUGGGUGGAAAACCCGAGCGCGUAAUGAAAGUGAAAGUUGAGAUCCCUGUCGUGGGGAGCAUCGACGCCCGGACCAGACCUUUUGCGACGGUUCCGCGGUAGAGCAUGUAUGUUGGGACCCGAAAGAUGGUGAACUAUGCCUGAAUAGGGUGAAGCCAGAGGAAACUCUGGUGGAGGCUCGUAGCGAUUCUGACGUGCAAAUCGAUCGUCAAAUUUGGGUAUAGGGGCGAAAGACUAAUCGAACCAUCUAGUAGCUGGUUCCUGCCGAA